UUUGUGUUUAGACUCUACGUUGAUGGACAUGUUUGCCCAACUCAGCAAACAUUUUCGGAAAGCCAGUGUGGAUGGGAGAGAGACCAGAGAAGGGAGGAAGGAUGCUGGCCUUCCAUCUGAGAGUAAUGAAGGAUGAAGGAGGUAGUCUUGGGGAAUGUGGAAGGCUUGCAGACAGGCAUCAUCCUCUGAUCCUGUCCUAAGCAAGAAGCAGUUUAAGAAGGAAGAGGAGAAGCUGACCACAGAGGUGCAGCUCAUUACCCAGAAGAGAAAUGAGCAGAGAGAUCACCUGAUCUCCCUCACAGAGGGAUCCAUGAACAAGAGAUCCAGGCCCUUCCAGAG
ensembl:lincRNA